rnacentral:rRNA from 1 species
AUUGAACGCUGGCGGCAGGCUUAACACAUGCAAGUCGAGCGGGGGGAGGUAGCUUGCUACCGGACCUAGCGGCGGACGGGUGAGUAAUGCUUAGGAAUCUGCCUAUUAGUGGGGGACAACAUCUCGAAAGGGAUGCUAAUACCGCAUACGUCCUACGGGAGAAAGCAGGGGAUCUUCGGACCUUGCGCUAAUAGAUAAGCCUAAGUCGGAUUAGCUAGUUGGUGGGGUAAAGGCCUACCACGGCGACGAUCUGUAGCGGGUCUGAGAGGAUGAUCCGCCACACUGGGACUGAGACACGGCCCAGACUCCUACGGGAGGCAGCAGUGGGGAAUAUUGGACAAUGGGGGGAACCCUGAUCCAGCCAUGCCGCGUGUGUGAAGAAGGCCUUAUGGUUGUAAAGCACUUUAAGCGAGGAGGAGGCUACUUUAGUUAAUACCUAGAGAUAGUGGACGUUACUCGCAGAAUAAGCACCGGCUAACUCUGUGCCAGCCGCCGCCGUAA